rnacentral:lncRNA from 1 species
AAGGAUUAGAAUUUCAAGAAAUACGAAUAAGAAACCGAGAUUUGAGAUUGUUUUGCCAUUUGGUUUACAAUCACGUAUAACUGCAUUUCAAAAAGGAAACAUUGGAAACUCUAGACUGUUAGGUAUAAGAGAAGAUUGCGUUUUGAACUCGCCUGUGCUUUUACAUAACUAACGAUAGGCGGUGAUGUGUUUUUACCGGACCGAAGAUAUAAAAGUUAGGAAAAGGGUUUCUAUUUUUUUUUUUUUUUUUUUUUUACAGUAGUUAUAUAAAACCCAAACAAUCCGUUAUCGAACAUUCCAUUAAAAAGUUAAACAAUUAAAGUUAAAUGGCUUAAUAGGAAAAUCAGGGUGUGAGUAAAGUGAUUUUGGACAAUUUUUUUCUUUUUUUAUGUGGGGUGGGGGGGGGGGGUAACAAUGCUUUAAUGCAAUAAAGCUUCGUGUGUACAUGUACAUCAAUAGAUUGUAUUAUGUGUUUUAAUAAAAGUUGUAAACGAUCAAGUUAUAAAUAGUUAUUUAUUUCUUCCUCAUAGUUUAGUUUCACGUAUAUAAUGAUUGAAUUAUAUAUAAUCGACUUCAAAACAAAAUUACAGUUAAUAUAUAAUUCAUC